UCCGUGAUGCAUCUGGACCUUCAUGGUCACCAGCAGCCGGCGGUCGCCAUGAUGGAUACCUGCGGCCACGGCCACAGCGCGUCGAUGAAAGUGACCCGUGUGUACAGCUCCGCUUCCGGGAUGUGAAACCCAAUUCCGGGUGGGAUUGAUCCAUGUCUGGCCACUACGGGGAUGAGGCCGAAGGGAGAAGAUAAGAGCAGACACCGAGCGGUCAAUGAUACAUUUGAACCAUCAACCUCUGCUGCAAACAGGACGCUAUGGUGACUUUUAAAGCAGUCGCAGACGCCCGUGGACACGUCGACUGUAUCAUCUCCACCCCGGGCGCUGUGCUCUGGCCUGUUGUCACCAUAGGAUGUGAGGUGACUGGACAUCGUGAGCGUGAGCUGCACUGAGCUCGGAGCAGGAUGAGGCCUCCCAACGCAUUUCCUCCCCGCUCCACUGGGACAAGGCCACUUCCUGUAAAGCAGCCUGAUCUCUAUUUAGAUUUCCUCGUUUGGAUCUGCCACAACGCUCCCCGCUGCCAACAUCUGUAAGUGGUUUGGAGGCAAGACGCACUAUGGAAAAACAUCAAAAAAUAAAAAGCGCGGAAUGGCGCUGUGUUAGCAGAUAGACGCGAGGGAGGAACGGCUACAGAAGCAGGGGACCUCAGACAAGUGUAUUAGCAAUAACUGAUACUGGCGAUUAGAUCCGUGGGGCGGUGGAUGGAGUUCCUGGGACCCCAUAGUUUGGGUUUUACUGAGGAUUGACCUCAAUCACGUGUCAGGUUUUAGGCAGAUUGGACUUAGGCUGCAGCACUUUUAAAGAGAUUAUGUUAUUGUAAGAGAUUAGGGGGAGUAGAUACAUUGAAGGGAGCUAAUGAGGGGGUUCUCC